CAUGCAUGGAGUCUUAGCUUUAAGAAUAAAGAAAGUACAUGUGUUAGAUCAUUGUAUCAUAUUGUGAAUCUCCAAUUAUGAGAUCUGUAUUUGCCACCGUAAUAUUUAGAGUGUAAGCAAAAUCAAGUCUAAGUUAGCGAAGUUCCAAAUGAAAACUUGGCGAUAUAUUCUCGAAAUCAAGUGAUUAAUAUAGAUCAUCGUGGCUUCAAUUUACCCCGAGGUACAUGCAGCUACAUGUGCAGAUAUAUAGCAGCUACAUAGCAUUUGUAACUUUGUAUUGGAGGUUAAGAUUACAUGUAUAAUACACCGCCAGCUAUGUAUAUACAUACUCUUACAUAUAUUUCAGGUUUAUUUUAGAUCAUACAUGGCAAAUUAACGACAAAAUGUUAGUAUUCAGAUAAAAGAUUAAAUUCAAUAUUGUAAAUUUUCAUUUUUCUAAAAUAUAUAUUCUGUAUUUCAUGCAUACUCCGGCAUUCACGAAUGUCAAAUUCAAUGGAGAUUUUGGUGAUUGAGGUCUUGUUGGUUUUACUCGAUAAAAAUGAGAGAGAAUGUAUGCUAUUUCCAAAGUGACUAGUGAUCGAUACAAGAAAGAAUAAGUCAGCAAAUUGCAAGCUGAAUCUUUUUCCAAUAUUUAUCAUGCUACGCUUAUUGUAAGGGACAGCGUCAGAAUCUUUGGGCUCGAGCGCAUUCCUGAAAAUAUUAUUAUCUUAAAUCUUAUUAUUACUUACCUUUCAAACUUUUUUCGAGAGGCUAGUUAUCAGUGUUUAAUAAUAUAAUUACUGUAUAAUAAAUUUCUUCACAUAGAUUGUGGUAUGUUAUGCUAGAAAUUUAAAUAAAUAUAAAU